GGUGAACGCUGGCGGCGUGCCUAACACAUGCAAGUCGAGCGAUUUACUUCGGUAAAGAGCGGCGGACGGGUGAGUAACGCGUGGGUAACCUGCCCUAUACACACGGAUAACAUACCGAAAGGUAUGCUAAUACGAGAUAAUAUAAGAGAUUCCCAUGGAUUUCUUAUCAAAGCUGAGGCGGUAUAGGAUGGACCCGCGUCUGAUUAGCUAGUUGGUAAGGUAACGGCUUACCAAGGCGACGAUCAGUAGCCGACCUGAGAGGGUGAUCGGCCACAUUGGAACUGAGACACGGUCCAAACUCCUACGGGAGGCAGCAGUGGGGAAUAUUGCACAAUGGGCGAAAGCCUGAUGCAGCAACGCCGCGUGAGUGAUGAAGGCCUUCGGGUCGUAAAACUCUGUCCUCAAGGAAGAUAAUGACGGUACUUGAGGAGGAAGCCCCGGCUAACUACGUGCCAGCCGCCGCGGUAAGAC
rnacentral:rRNA from 1 species